rnacentral:rRNA from 1 species
AAAGAUGAAAAGCACUUUGGAAAGAGAGUUAAACAGUACGUGAAAUUGUUAAAAGGGAAACGAUUGAAGUCAGUCGUGUUCAUUGGAUUCAGCUAGUUCUUCUAGUCUACUUCUUUUGAACGGGUCAACAUCAGUUUUGUCCGGUGGAUAAAGGUAUUAGGAAUGUGACUUCCUCGGAAGUGUUAUAGCCUAGUAUCACAUACACUGGGGGAGACUGAGGACUGCAGCUCGCCUUUUGGCCGGGGUUCGCCCACGUUCGAGCUUAGGAUGUUGACAUAAUGGCUU